rnacentral:rRNA from 1 species
AUUGAACGCUGGCGGCAUGCUUUACACAUGCAAGUCGAACGGCAGCGCGGGCUUCGGCCUGGCGGCGAGUGGCGAACGGGUGAGUAAUACAUCGGAACGUGCCCAGUAGUGGGGGAUAGCUCUGCGAAAGCCGGAUUAAUACCGCAUACGACCUGAGGGUGAAAGCGGGGGAUCUUCGGACCUCGCGCUAUUGGAGCGGCCGAUGGCAGAUUAGCUAGUUGGUGGGGUAAAGGCCUACCAAGGCGACGAUCUGUAGCUGGUCUGAGAGGACGACCAGCCACACUGGGACUGAGGCACGGCCCAGACUCCUACGGGAGGCAGCAGUGGGGAAUUUUGGACAAUGGGCGAAAGCCUGAUCCAGCAAUGCCGCGUGUGUGAUGAAGGCCUUCGGGUUGUAAAGCACUUUGGGCGGGAACGAAAAGGACUGUGCCAAUACCACGGUUCGAUGACGGUACCCGCAGAAUAAGCACCGGCUAACUACGUG